rnacentral:lncRNA from 1 species
AUAAAUCUCACUGAUGACCACCUGAAGGAUGAGCUGAAUGGGAGACCGAGUGGACACUGGAGCCUCUGGAAAGACGUUGGUUGGAGAGCACCGUCAUGACCCCCUGUCCUUUCCUCUCUGCUGGGAUCAUUGACCAGUAAGACAAACGUGGCUCCCUGUUGGAGGCUGGAGAGGGAUCCCAAACACAUCUGGAGCUUUGAGCGUGAGAGGGACGGGAUUUUACCAUGUUUGCCCAGGCUGGUUUCAAACUCAUGAGCUCAAGGUUACAGGCGUGAGCCACUGUGCCCAGCCUGCUCUGCAAUGUGGAUCCACAUGUGAGUCUUCCCUGAGAACAACUGGUAGCCAGUGGUAUUUAGCCUUCUUGAUCUCGAUUCAAGAUUGAUGAAAAUAAUGAAAAUUGUGACUCUAUGCAGAUUGUACCCACUGGGUACCUAGUAUAAGACAUUUUAACACUCAAGUACCCUGUCCAAGAGAAAGCACCGCUCAAGAGUUUUUGAAAGCAGGAAUGAAACAGGAACAGUUCUUCGUGGUGCUGAUAAUACCAUAAACUGUUUCUGAGGCUCCAGGUGCUUUGCCCGCUGGUGUUAGCCCUGUGUUUAUUGUUUUUAGAGCUGGAACCUAUUGCCUCAGGGCUGAGUGACCGUGAAUUUUCAUAUCGAGGAUAAGAUACCAACUUCCAACAGAACACUGGUGGAAAGUUUGUCUUUUUUCUAACAUUGGACGAUUUCCUUCUCAGGGAGAAAGGAAUCAAUGAUGUAUUAUUUGGCAUAUUUUAAAAUUACCUCCAGGGGCUGCAAUGGAGCGUGAACAGCUACUUUCCAAAGAGUAGAUUAGGAAUCCAUUGAGCACCGGUGCCAAGCCCAGUCAUGCCUCCAACUCUUCAGUGUGAUGUGCUUAUUGACUUAGCAUCUGACAGAGCUGAAAGAGCCUUCAGUGAGUCAUUCUGCACGAUCUCCGUGUCCCUGUUCAACCCAAAUAUCUGGCACUCUCCGACAGAGCCAACCUCUUGCUGCCCUGCUCAACAACUCACAACCGCUUACAGGUCACUAGACCUUGAGAAGGCACAUUUGGACCUGCCAUCCUGGACUUUGAGCCGGAUGUGGCAACUGGAUCAGAGAACAAAUACGCCUUGGCUUCUGCUUCUGAGGACCUAUCUCUUUUCCAAAGCUGUUCAUUGUAUAAACAUCCUUGGAAAGAUACUCUGGAACAAAGACAGUGAUAACCUCUGCUCUAAGAUGUGCACAAAGGUCUUCGAGGAAUCACCACGCUGUCUUCCACAAUGGUUGAAGUUAUUUGCGAUCUGCUUGGAUUUUAAGAAAAGAGAGUAG